UUAAGUUCAGCGGGUAACCUCUCUGAUAUGAAGUCAAACUUGUAGAUUGACGUUUGGCUGGAAACCCUCCGUGCAUUCUGAAGAAAGUGUUCACUACUCCGACGCACGGCGGCCUCCGCCCACAGAUUGCGGGUGACGGCAACGCCGCCCCCAUCGCCAAGCAGAGCUUGAGUGUUUAUAUGACGUUCAUACAGACGUGC
rnacentral:misc_RNA from 1 species